UACGUAGGGGGCAAGCGUUGUCCGGAAUCAUUGGGCGUAAAGAGCGCGUAGGCGGCCCAGUAAGUCCGCUCUGAAAGUCAGAGGCUCAACCUCUGAAUGCGGGUGGAUACUGUCGGGCUUGAGUACGGAAGAGGCGAGUGGAAUUCCUGGUGUAGCGGUGAAAUGCGCAGAUAUCAGGAGGAACACCAAUUGCGAAGGCAGCUCGCUGGGACGUAACUGACGCUGAGACGCGAAAGCGUGGGGAGCAAACAGG
rnacentral:rRNA from 1 species